rnacentral:lncRNA from 1 species
AAUGGGAAUAGCUGCUGGAAGUUCUAAUGGAUUCUCACAAACACCAAUUCUAAAAGAUCGAUUUUAAUUUCUUCAUAUUUCGGACAACAAAUCUGCCCUUGAAAAGAAGGUCAGAUGGAGGAAGUUUAGGACCCGAAGUACGUUUGCGGGAAAGGCGACAUCAACUUCUCGAUCAGAGAUGGAUGAUGACAUAGUGAAUAUAUGGAAUCUCAGAGGCUCAAAAAAUGUAGUGCUGCUGCCUUGGAUAUGAUCUCUAAUGUGUUUGGUAAUGAGAUUUUUUCAGCUAUUGUUCUAUAGAAUUCGGAACCUUAGUUUCGAUAUAAAUCAUGAGUUUAUUGGUAUUAUUCAUGCAGUUUAUUUUCUUUCUUUUUUGUAUGUAUGGCUCUCUGUGUCUCUAUUAACUCUCUAUGAGCCUUAAUGUAUCAUUCAUGAUUUUAUUAAUCUUGACACUUUUGGCAGUAGAUGCAUAAAGCACUUUUGUUGUAUGUAAUUAUAGAAGGGAUGUAA